rnacentral:lncRNA from 1 species
GGGACCAUCCACUUCCACUAGGACGACACUUUUCUUCUAGGUUCUGAACGUUUUCUUUUGGGAGAAGGGAAAAAUGUAGUUCCCGGUUUUCUUUCAGGAAUUGAAUAAUAAGCACACUUGUCUAGAGAGCUCACGGACUGGAGAUUGUGAAACGUUGAUUUAUAUGCUUCUUUAGAAAGCUUGGAUUCAUUUUUUCUUAAAUUGAGUUUGUAGUGGUUCACGCUGGACGUCCAGAAAUUUCUCUCAUUGCUAAAUUUUCAUUCUCGCUUGUUUCAACUUUCAUCUUUGAUGCACGCUCCUUUCAAUAACGUUGCUAUGUGGGG